UACGUAGGGGGCAAGCGUUGUCCGGAAUCAUUGGGCGUAAAGAGCGUGUAGGCGGCCCGGUAAGUCGGUUGUGAAAGUCAAGGGCUCAACCCUUGAAUGCCGACCGAUACUGUCGGGCUAGAGUCCGGAAGAGGCGAGUGGAAUUCCUGGUGUAGCGGUGAAAUGCGCAGAUAUCAGGAGGAACACCAACGGCGAAGGCAGCUCGCUGGGACGGUACUGACGCUGAGACGCGAAAGCGUGGGGAGCAAACAGG
rnacentral:rRNA from 1 species